UAUUACUUGCUCUUAUCUUGUUUAUGAUCAUCAUUUGUCCGUUCAGGAAUGCAUAUAAUAUGGUGCUGCAUAGAUUUGGGGAGAAACUUUACACUGGACUUGAGAAGACCAUGACCUCUCAUCUGAAACAAAUCUCCCAAUCAAUUGAAUCUGCUCAAGGAGAAAGUUUCUUGGAGGAGCUUAACAGGAAGUGGGUAGACCAUAACAAAGCAUUGGGAAAAAUCCGAGACAUACUAAUGUACAUGGAUCGAACUUUCGUACCAAGCAACCACAAAACCCCCGUUCAUGAACUUGGUAUGAAUCUAUGGAGAGAUGUUGUGAUCCAUUCCAACAAAACUAAGACUAGGCUUCGGGAUACACUUCUUGACCUCGUCCUUAGAGAAAGGAACGGUGAAGUAAUUAGCAGAGGCCUAAUGAGGAACUUAUUAAAGAUGCUAAUGGAUUUGGGUUCGUCUGUUUACCAGAAGGACUUUGAAGAUCGUUUUCUUGAGGCUUCCGAGAUUUUUUAUAGUUGUGAGUCUGAGAAAUUCAUUAAAUCUUGUGAUUGUGAGGAUUAUCUGAAAAAAGUUGAGAGUUGUUUAAAUAUAGAAAAGGAGAGAGCAUCUCACUACUUGGAUUCUAGCAGUGAGUCAAAGAUAAUUAGUGUGGUCGAGAAAAAGAUGAUUGAAAAUCAUAGGCACACUUUGAUUGAUAUGAAUAAAUCAGUCUUAGUUAAUAUGCUCAGGGGUGACAAGUAUGAGGACUUGGAAAGAAUGUUUAACAUGUUUCGUAGGGUACAUUCUGGGCUCACAAUUAUUAAAGAUGUCAUGACUUCUUUUAUACGGGAUACUGGUAAGCAGUUAAUUAUGGAUCCUGAAAGGUUGAAAAAUCCUGUGGAUUUUGUGCAGUGUCUUUUGGUUUUGAAGGAUAAAUAUGACAAAGUUAUCACAUUGGCGUUUGCUAAUGACAAGUCAUUUCAGAAUGCCUUGAAUUCUGCAUUUGAAUAUUUCAUCAAUUUGAGUGCCCGAUCUCCAGAAUUCAUUUCUUUGUUUGUGGAUGAUAAACUUCGUAGAGAGAUAAAAGGGGUUGGUGAGGAGGAUGUAGAGACUGUACUAGACAAAGUCAUGAUGCUUUUCCGGUACCUGCAAGAGAAGGAUGUGUUUGAGAAGUAUUAUAAGCAACACCUAGCAAAAAGGCUUCUUUCGUGGAAGACUGUAUCUGAUGAGGCAGAAAGAAGUUUGAUUUUUAAGCUCAAAACAGAAUGUGGAUAUCAAUUCACUUCUAAGUUAGAGGGUAUGUUUACAGACAUGAAGACUUCUUAUGAUACGAUGCAAGGUUUCUUAGCUGAUCAUGGUGCUUAGUUGGGAGAUAGCCCUACACUAUCUGUCCAGGUGCUUACAACAGGUUCAUGGCCUACUCAACCUAGUCCGCAAUGUAAUCUUCCAUCUGAAAUCCGGGGUCUAUGUGAGAAGUUUCGUAAUUAUUAUCUCGGCUCUCACAGUGGUAGGAGGUUGACGUGGCAAGCUAAUAUGGGGAAUGCUGAUUUGAAAGCUACAUUUGGUAAGGGCCAGAAGCAUGAGCUGAAUGUUUCUACAUACCAGAUGUGUGUACUAAUGCUUUUCAACAAUGCUGAUCGGAUGACUUGUAAGGAGAUAGAGCAGGCUACAGCAAUACCCAUGUCAGACUUGAAGAGGUGCCUUCAGUCGUUGGCCUUGGUCAAAGGGAAAAAUGUUCUUCGGAAAGAGCUAAUGAGCAAGGACAUAUCUGAAGAUGAUGUGUUCUUUUUCAAUGAAAAAUUCACUAGCAAGCUCUUCAAGGUAAAAAUAGGGACUGUUGUUGCACAAAGGGAGACCGAACCAGAAAAUAUAGAAACUCGGCAAAGAGUGGAGGAAGAAAGAAAGCCGCAGAUUGAGACAGCAAUUGUGAGGGUAAUGAAAUCUAGGCGGGUUUUAGAGCAUAAUAAUGUCAUCGCCGAGGUCACGAAGCAGCUGCAGGCGCGGUUUUUGCCCAAUCCUGUUGUUAUUAAAAAACAGAUUGAAUCCCUCAUUGAGCGCGAGUUUUUAGAGAGGGAUAAAGUGGACAGAGAAUUGUACCGCUAUCUUGCUUGAAACAGUAUGCACUUUUAUCUCUCUCUGUUUAAACAAUUUUAUCAUGGAUACUUUGCGACAGUUAAAACAAUUCAUCAUGGAUACUUUGUGAUUUUGUCUGUCAUAAGCUUGAAACAGUAUGUGUAUUUUGCGCGAGUUGUUAUUUUGUCUGUUAUAUACUUUGAUUGUCUGUCAUAUACAUUCUGAUCUGAGUUAAUGUAUCUGAUGUUUGUUAAUUUAUUUUCUCCAUGGAGUUUUCUCCAACUUUAAAGGAGUAUUAUCAAUUUAUGCAGUUUUAUCAUAUGAUUUUUACAACGAUUUUUAAAUGCUAGAAAGUUCCUAGAGGCUAAGGAACUAGUCUAUUAAAUUAAAUGCUUGGAAAAAAAGAAAUACAAAUGACAUUUAAUGAAGAAAAAAUGGAAUCUAAUUUGAAACAUUUCACAAUGAAAAAAUAUGCUCAAUAAUCAAUAUAGAAAAUUUUAGUUUAAAUAACUCACAUUUAUAUAUUUUUUUUCUUCAGGCCAUUGACUAUGUUUUGUAGAUUACUAGUGUGUGACCCGUGCGCGGACGCACGGGUAUAUUUAUCUUCGGACAACACAUGUCACAAUAAUAGACAAUCGUACCUCAAUGUUUGGCAACGCGUGAAUCGACAAAGGACAAUAAAACCUCGAUGUUUGUAUAACGCAUGUCUCGUCAAUGGACAACCGCACCUCAAUGGCCAUCACUGACAUGAUAGUGAUACACAUUGGUACGUAGUUGAUGUUAGUUUGUCAAAUUAAUAAUAACAAAUCACACGUCAAAGUCCAUGUCAUGUGUGAAAUUGAAACCAUUGUCACUUGUAUAAACAUGUCUCGAUACCAAGAAAUUGUCUAUCCAUGUCCGACAUCAACACAAUACUUAUAUCAAUGAUUAAACUGAACAACGUUAUUAUUUUAAAUUAAAAGAAUUAGUCGAAACACCAAUAUUAACAUCAUGUCUAAUGUUCGUAUCGGUGUAUACAUAUCAUAGUUUACAAACAUAAAUAUAACGGUUGACGACAAUAUUGACAUCACAGAUUUUUAAAUUAAAUGAUAUACCAAAACAACAACAUUGCAAAAACAUAAAUGGAACAAUAAAAUUGUAACUUUUAACAUAAUACUGAUUACACCUUCAUUUUAGGCAAACACCCCUUCAUUAAACCCAUAAUGCUUCUAAAAUGGUAACACUAUAUGAUUCAAACAUAUGAAAAUAAUAAAAUAAACAAAGAUUGCACGUGCCAUAAGACAAACAUUAUAAUCAAGUAGUCCUCCUACCAACAAAAGACAUGAAAGCAAAGAAUCAAAUUGAAACCAACAUUUAUUUUUUUAAGAAGAACAACACUAAAAAUUAGAAACCACAAUAACAAUUCAUUAGAUCACUGAGAUAUCUUAGAAGGAACAACCCUAACAGAAAGAAAAUCUGGGAUACAUAAAAAACCAACACGUCACCAAAACUUAAACUAUUAUCACUCGGAAACUUAUACCAUCCUUCACCGGUAUAUUUUUAUUCACAUUUGCUAUCAUGAUUUCUUACAUAAGUGACGAAGUCACACUCAUAGGUUUUGAGAGUGCCCAACAAUUCUAAGAUAAUCUUUAUGUGGCUUUCACGAAGGACUUUUUCCACAGUCCUGCUGGGGAUACGCUAUAACAUCGUGUCUGAUGACAAACAUAUUCACAUGGCACCCAAUCUUCACCAAAAAUUCUAUGGGGAAGAUCUUAGAGUAUCUAAAUGAGUAAAAAUGUCUUCAUCCUGUACAACCCAACAAUCAACAGCGUCAUCCACAGCUACAACUGAGUUAUCAAUGGUCUUUCCUAUCCCUUCAUGAAACUGAUCCAAAACUAACAUUUUUUUUGCUAGUGUGUAACCCGUGUUGAUGCACGGGUAGACGAUCACGUGUUAUGAGCGUUCAUCGUUACGUAACUAUUAUCACAAAAAAGAAAAAAACAAUCAAAAAAAUUACACAUUAGGCGUGUAUUAUGUUAUGUGUGUACAUAAAUAGUUGUUUCGUAUUACGCGUUUAUUAUGUAACACGUGCACGAUCAAAGUUGUUUUAUAUUAUGCGUGUCAAUUACAAAAAUUAAAAUUGUGCAAACAACCUAAAUAGGCUUAAGUUGAAUUAGAAAAUACUUUGAAUAAAUUUUUGGAGAUAUAUUUAAGGGUGUGUAUAUUUUGAAAAUUAAAUGAUACAUGCUAUAGGUUUGAAAUUAUUUUAUCAAAUUCAAUAAUAAAUUCAAUUUUGGGAAUAUUAUUAUUCACACCACUGUUUUAGACAUAUACCCAGAACUAAGCAGAAAUGGGCCAAGUCCAAACUCUUUCAUCAAGCCCGAGCCCUCUGCUAUCAUUCAUUCUUCUGAAAUGCUAACACUGAGCCCUCAACUGCCGCUACCACCUUCCUUCUUCCACCAAUACAAUUGAAUUAAAUUACUCUGAACUAAUGCACAAAUACAAUUGAAAAAGAAACAUAGUUUUAUGAAUCAUGCAUUCCAUUCAUCUAACAAAUUUUAUUUUUGCACUUUCUUUUAUCAAAGUAGCUAGGGUGGUAGUUGUUCAGCCAAAUCUUAGGCUGAUGUUGGACCUUCAUACUGUGUCAUUCUUUGAACUCAUACACAAAUACAAUUUUAAAGAAACAUAGUGUUUUGAAUCAUCCAUGUCAUUCACCUAUCAAAUUGUUAAUCUUAGGCAACUUUAUUGUAACAUCCCAGAUUCUUCUUCUUCUAGUAUAUAUAUUUAUUACUUUUAACCUUAUAAACUACAAAUUAAUUUUAUCAUCUUAUGAUAUUAAUUAAGCGAGGGAUGAUAUUUUAUUCCUACUCUUUUUCACACACACCCCUUUCUAUACUUUGAAGAACAAAAACAAAAUACAUAGUGAGAAAGAGAAAGAGAAUAGGAAAGGAAGAACAAUGAAAGAAGAGCCAAGAGAGAGAAAAGUCAAUCUUAACAAAAUUAUCAUCACCAAGUAAGAAUCCUACUAGUAUUCUUAUUGUCAUUUUUAUUAUUAAAGAAUCAAAAUCAUCAAUCAUAUUUUUGUAGAAAACAUAACAUGUAGAGUCCUUAAACUUUUUCUCUCUUACAAACCUAUGUUAUAAUUAUUAUUAUGACCUUAAAGUAGUAAUUUUGAAACGUAAAUUGAAACAAAAGAUGGGAUUAAGAAAUCGAUGUUGCUUUGUUAAAUUUUACACCAAUUUUCAUUUAGAUCUAAAAGUUAUAUUUGAAUCAUUAUCUCAGUAUUUUGAUGAAAUUCUAUUUUAACGGGCCAUAUUUGUAUGAGUUUAAUCAUGAGCAAAAUCAGCCCCUUGUUCUAGUAAUCUUGAAUGAGUUAAAAUGGUUUAUUAGAAUGAUUAGUCGAUCAAAAUUUUAUGGUUAAAGCAAAUAUAAUUGAACUUUUCUUAUAAUUAACAAGACCUGAUAUGACAAUAGAGUAUGCUACUAUCUAUAUGUUUGACUAGAUGAAUAUAACCUUGAGUAAAUUUUGAGUUAAAAAAAUAUAGUUUUAUUUCCAGAAGUAUACUUUUUGAACUUAAGAAAGAUUAUUUGAAAGCAUUGUUCAUUUACGUAAUGAGUUUUUUUGUUGAUUUAGGAAUUGAUCUUUGGGUAAAUUUUCUUUGAAAAUGUGAUUGUUGGAGGUACACUACUAACUGAGUUGAGUGAAACAAGUUUUAUCAUCAAAUACUUAAAAGAUUAUCUUACAUGUCUUUACCUUUUGGACUUAAUUUUACAGAAGUAGUCGUUGUGAAUAUCUAAGUAAAAUAUUCAUAUUUUGAUUAGAUUCCUUAGCCAAACCCUUCAGCCUUGAAUGUUAAAAUGUUAGUUAGUUUUGGUAUUAAGAAUUAGUGGUGAAUUAUUUUGUGAAGGUAUAGACGUAGUGGAACAAAGAAUGCUUCAUGGGAAUUUUAAGAGUUCUUGGUGCAAAGGUAAGGGCAUCAUUCCAUGCGCUUCCGUAUGUGUAUGUGUGAAUAUUUGUGUUGUGAUGGUUACCAUAGUGUUGUUGUUUUGAAGUGAAUGCUAUGUGCUAUAUAUUGGUGAUGUGAUAAUUACCUUGGUGUUGUUGUUUUGGCAUGAAUAUUAUGUUAUUAUUUAUGUGGUGUUGUUUUAAUGUAAAUACUAUUUGUUUAUGGGUGAAUAAACUUAAGUAACUAAAAUGGUGAUUCAAAACUAUAUCCAAAGGUGGGAUAUUAGACUUUUGAUUUUUGGAGAUUACCCAACGGUGGGGUAUUUACGGAGACAUUCAUGCAUUAGAUGACUCAGACAAAUGCCCAAUGGUGGGGUACUGACCAUCGAGUUUUAGGAGUUACUACCCAACGGUGGGGUAGUGGCGAUUCAUAUGCAUUAGGUGAUUCAGAAUAAUGCCCAAUGGUGGGGUACUGAACAUCAAAUUUUUAGGAGUUAUUACCCAAUGGUGGGGUAUUGCCCAAUGGUGGGGUAUAUUGUCCAAUGGUGGGACAUUUGGCUCCGUUUAGAGGUGAAAUCCGGAUCAUGAGCAUUUGCAUAUAGACUGA
rnacentral:lncRNA from 1 species